rnacentral:rRNA from 1 species
GUUAAGCGACUAAGCGUACACGGUGGAUGCCCUGGCAGUCAGAGGCGAUGAAGGACGUGCUAAUCUGCGAUAAGCGUCGGUAAGGUGAUAUGAACCGUUAUAACCGGCGAUUUCCGAAUGGGGAAACCCAGUGUGUUUCGACACACUAUCAUUAACUGAAUCCAUAGGUUAAUGAGGCGAACCGGGGGAACUGAAACAUCUAAGUACCCCGAGGAAAAGAAAUCAACCGAGAUUCCCCCAGUAGCGGCGAGCGAACGGGGAGCAGCCCAGAGCCUGAAUCAGUGUGUGUGUUAGUGGAAGCGUCUGGAAAGGCGCGCGAUACAGGGUGACAGCCCCGUACACAAAAAUGCACAUGCUGUGAGCUCGAUGAGUAGGGCGGGACACGUGGUAUCCUGUCUGAAUAUGGGGGGACCAUCCUCCAAGGCUAAAUACUCCUGACUGACCGAUAGUGAACCAGUACCGUGAGGGAAAGGCGAAAAGAACCCCGGCGAGGGGAGUGAAAAAGAACCUGAAACCGUGUACGUACAAGCAGUGGGAGCACGCUUAGGCGUGUGACUGCGUACCUUUUGUAUAAUGGGUCAGCGACUUAUAUUCUGUAGCAAGGUUAACCGAAUAGGGGAGCCGAAGGGAAACCGAGUCUUAACUGGGCGUUAAGUUGCAGGGUAUAGACCCGAAACCCGGUGAUCUAGCCAUGGGCAGGUUGAAGGUUGGGUAACACUAACUGGAGGACCGAACCGACUAAUGUUGAAAAAUUAGCGGAUGACUUGUGGCUGGGGGUGAAAGGCCAAUCAAACCGGGAGAUAGCUGGUUCUCCCCGAAAGCUAUUUAGGUAGCGCCUCGUGAAUUCAUCUCCGGGGGUAGAGCACUGUUUCGGCAAGGGGGUCAUCCCGACUUACCAACCCGAUGCAAACUGCGAAUACCGGAGAAUGUUAUCACGGGAGACACACGGCGGGUGCUAACGUCCGUCGUGAAGAGGGAAACAACCCAGACCGCCAGCUAAGGUCCCAAAGUCAUGGUUAAGUGGGAAACGAUGUGGGAAGGCCCAGACAGCCAGGAUGUUGGCUUAGAAGCAGCCAUCAUUUAAAGAAAGCGUAAUAGCUCACUGGUCGAGUCGGCCUGCGCGGAAGAUGUAACGGGGCUAAACCAUGCACCGAAGCUGCGGCAGCGACGCUUAUGCGUUGUUGGGUAGGGGAGCGUUCUGUAAGCCUGCGAAGGUGUACUGUGAGGUAUGCUGGAGGUAUCAGAAGUGCGAAUGCUGACAUAAGUAACGAUAAAGCGGGUGAAAAGCCCGCUCGCCGGAAGACCAAGGGUUCCUGUCCAACGUUAAUCGGGGCAGGGUGAGUCGACCCCUAAGGCGAGGCCGAAAGGCGUAGUCGAUGGGAAACAGGUUAAUAUUCCUGUACUUGGUGUUACUGCGAAGGGGGGACGGAGAAGGCUAUGUUGGCCGGGCGACGGUUGUCCCGGUUUAAGCGUGUAGGCUGGUUUUCCAGGCAAAUCCGGAAAAUCAAGGCUGAGGCGUGAUGACGAGGCACUACGGUGCUGAAGCAACAAAUGCCCUGCUUCCAGGAAAAGCCUCUAAGCAUCAGGUAACAUCAAAUCGUACCCCAAACCGACACAGGUGGUCAGGUAGAGAAUACCAAGGCGCUUGAGAGAACUCGGGUGAAGGAACUAGGCAAAAUGGUGCCGUAACUUCGGGAGAAGGCACGCUGAUAUGUAGGUGAAGUCCCUUGCGGAUGGAGCUGAAAUCAGUCGAAGAUACCAGCUGGCUGCAACUGUUUAUUAAAAACACAGCACUGUGCAAACACGAAAGUGGACGUAUACGGUGUGACGCCUGCCCGGUGCCGGAAGGUUAAUUGAUGGGGUCAGCGCAAGCGAAGCUCUUGAUCGAAGCCCCGGUAAACGGCGGCCGUAACUAUAACGGUCCUAAGGUAGCGAAAUUCCUUGUCGGGUAAGUUCCGACCUGCACGAAUGGCGUAAUGAUGGCCAGGCUGUCUCCACCCGAGACUCAGUGAAAUUGAACUCGCUGUGAAGAUGCAGUGUACCCGCGGCAAGACGGAAAGACCCCGUGAACCUUUACUAUAGCUUGACACUGAACAUUGAGCCUUGAUGUGUAGGAUAGGUGGGAGGCUUUGAAGUGUGGACGCCAGUCUGCAUGGAGCCGACCUUGAAAUACCACCCUUUAAUGUUUGAUGUUCUAACGUUGACCCGUGAUCCGGGUUGCGGACAGUGUCUGGUGGGUAGUUUGACUGGGGCGGUCUCCUCCUAAAGAGUAACGGAGGAGCACGAAGGUUGGCUAAUCCUGGUCGGACAUCAGGAGGUUAGUGCAAUGGCAUAAGCCAGCUUGACUGCGAGCGUGACGGCGCGAGCAGGUGCGAAAGCAGGUCAUAGUGAUCCGGUGGUUCUGAAUGGAAGGGCCAUCGCUCAACGGAUAAAAGGUACUCCGGGGAUAACAGGCUGAUACCGCCCAAGAGUUCAUAUCGACGGCGGUGUUUGGCACCUCGAUGUCGGCUCAUCACAUCCUGGGGCUGAAGUAGGUCCCAAGGGUAUGGCUGUUCGCCAUUUAAAGUGGUACGCGAGCUGGGUUUAGAACGUCGUGAGACAGUUCGGUCCCUAUCUGCCGUGGGCGCUGGAGAACUGAGGGGGGCUGCUCCUAGUACGAGAGGACCGGAGUGGACGCAUCACUGGUGUUCGGGUUGUCAUGCCAAUGGCACUGCCCGGUAGCUAAAUGCGGAAGAGAUAAGUGCUGAAAGCAUCUAAGCACGAAACUUGCCCCGAGAUGAGUUCUCCCUGACCCUUUAAGGGUCCUGAAGGAACGUUGAAGACGACGACGUUGAUAGGCCGGGUGUGUAAGCGCAGCGAUGCGUUGAGCUAACCGGUACUAAUGAACCGUGAGG